UACGUAGGGUGCGAGCGUUGUCCGGAAUUAUUGGGCGUAAAGAGCUCGUAGGCGGUGUGUCACGUCGGCCGUGAAAACCUGCAGCUUAACUGUGGGCGUGCGGUCGAUACGGGGCAUCACUGGAGUUCGGCAGGGGAGACUGGAAUUCCUGGUGUAGCGGUGAAAUGACGCAGAUAUCAGGAGGAACACCGGUGGCGAAGGCGGGUCUCUGGGCCGAUACUGACGCUGAGGAGCGAAAGCGUGGGGAGCAAACAGG
rnacentral:rRNA from 1 species